rnacentral:rRNA from 1 species
UACGGAGGGGGGCUAGCGUUGUUCGGAAUUACUGGGCGUAAAGCGCGCGUAGGCGGCUUUGUAAGUUAGAGGUGAAAGCCCGGAGCUCAACUCCGGAAUUGCCUUUAAGACUGCAUCGCUAGAAUCAUGGAGAGGUGAGUGGAAUUCCGAGUGUAGAGGUGAAAAUUCGUAGAUAUUAGGAAGAACACCAGUGGCGAAGGCGGCUCACUGGUCCGGUACUGACGCUGAGGUGCGAAAGCGUGGGGAGCAAACAGG